AGUGAACGCUGGCGGUAGGCCUAACACAUGCAAGUCGAACGGCAGCACAGGAGAGCUUGCUCUCUGGGUGGCGAGUGGCGGACGGAUGAGGAAUACAUCGGAAUCUACCUUUUCGUGGGGGAUAACGUAGGGAAACUUACGCUAAUACCGCAUACGACCUACGGGUGAAAGUGGGGGACCGCAAGGCCUCACGCGAUUAGAUGAGCCGAUGUCCGAUUAGCUAGUUGGCGGGGUAAUGGCCCACCAAGGCGACGAUCGGUAGCUGGUCUGAGAGGAUGAUCAGCCACACUGGAACUGAGACACGGUCCAGACUCCUACGGGAGGCAGUAGUGGGGAAUAUUGGACAAUGGGCGCAAGCCUGAUCCAGCCAUACCGCGUGGGUGAAGAAGGCCUUCGGGUUGUAAAGCCCUUUUGUUGGGAAAGAAAUCCUGUCGAUUAAUACUCGGUGGGGAUGACGGUACCCAAAGAAUAAGCACCGGCUAACUUCGUGCCAGCCGCCGCGGUAAGAC
rnacentral:rRNA from 1 species